rnacentral:ncRNA from 1 species
AUGUCUCGUGUCUGUGGUUGAAAGUUGAGGCUAGUCGCAGGCAAAGCAAUCCACGUAAACUUCACUAAAAUCGGUGGAGCGAUCAUAGUGCGGCCUAGAAGUAAGUCCAGCCGGCGCAAGUCGAGAGAAGGAGUCGUGAUAUCAAAGCCAAACUUCCAGCUGGCGAGUGUGGGGUUAAAGACCAGGUCAGACGAGAUGU